rnacentral:misc_RNA from 1 species
UCUGGGUUUAUCCCAGCGGUCCCGUUAGAGAAAUAUAACUAACGGCGGGGGUUGCGCUCGUUGCGGGACUUAACCCAACACCUCACGACACGAGCUGACGACAGCCAUGCAGCACCUGUGCUGGAGCUCCGAAGAGGGGCCGAUCUUUCCACCGGCUUUCCCCAGCAUGUCAAGCCUAUGUAAGGUUCUGCGCGUUGCGUCGAAUUAAACCACAUGCUCCACCGCUUGUGCGGGCCCCCGUCAAUUCCUUUGAGUUUCAAUCUUGCGAUCGUAUUCCCCAGGUGGAUUACUUAAUGCUUUCGCUUAGACGCUGACAGUGUAUCGCCAACAUCGAGUAAUCAUCGUUUAGGGCGUGGACUAC